rnacentral:rRNA from 1 species
UACGUAGGGACCGAGCGUUGUCCGGAUUCAUUGGGCGUAAAGCGCGUGUAGGCGGUUCGGUAAGUCGGCUGUGAAAGUCCAGGGCUCAACCCUGGGAUGCCGGUCGAUACUGCCGGACUAGAGUUCGGAAGAGGCGAGUGGAAUUCCUGGUGUAGCGGUGAAAUGCGCAGAUAUCAGGAGGAACACCGAUGGCGAAGGCAGGUCUCUGGGCUAUAACUGACGCUCAUGCACGAAAGCGUGGGGAGCAAACAGG